UCAUAUUAUUAUAUUUUAUUGUAGUAUGUGUAGUGUAUACUAACUUAAAGGGAAAAAAUGUAAACAAAAUGAAAGACAUGGGGAAAAUGGCAUCUUGCUUUAAUCUUCAACUUAAAGUUACCCUUAACAAUUCAUUUAUACCAUUAUGCCAAAUUGUAGUCAUCCCUGCAGAAUUUUAGACAAAUGAAAAUGGACAAGGUAACACCAAAGAGAUUAAGCACAGAAAGUGAUAUUGAUUAAAAAGUUGAAAGUAAAAUCUACCUUGGCUGGAACUGAACAUUCAGAUCCAUCUCUAGAGGAAAAUCUAACAUGAAUCAUAUGGUUCCUAUUUUGACUAGUUCAUAGCAUAUCAAUUAGCAACUUAUGACUUGAAAAUACUUUUUCUCAGCUGCAUUUGACUACCUAAAAUCCUACCGAGCACGCUGUUUGGCAUGUCUUACUCCUCUGAAAUCAUCAUCUACUUUCUAAAAACCAGAAAAUUAGUUUGCUUGUGAUUUAAAAUUCAAAAAAGUUUGUAGAAAACACAAAAAGAAUCAACUAUUUAAAGUCUCAUCCUUUUCUUCUCUCUAAAACAGCUACUUCUACUAAAAGAAGAGUAUGUGGAUACUUUCUAAGAACUCAAAAACGAGAAAACCAAAAUCAGAGGGUGCAUGAAUAUAUGUGCACAGGUAUGUACAGAUUUAAUCUCUAUAUUCCCUAAAACAUAUUUAAACAGGUAAUCCCAGCAUUCUAAAUUCAGAAAGCAAAAAUAAACAGUUUUGUUUCUAAAUCAGUGGUAUUACUAGCUGAAAUGUUUAGUAGAAUACUGCACCUAUAGUUCAGCAGUACUUUGAUUAUGUACCAUUUAAGAAAUCAAAAUAAUAAGCACAUUCUUCUAACAGCAAAGAAUUGUCCCACUUUUUAUUUUGACAUAUUGAUAUUUCCAUAAACUUGCAAGUGGAAAAUAAGCUGUUCAAUAAAAGCCUUCUUACAUAUAUAAUAUACAGAAAUUAUUUUAGAAGUCUGUUCAUAUAACAGAUUAUUUUGGCACUAACAAAAAUUGUAUACAAUCCAUCAGUUGUAUGGCUAGAAAUGAAACCAUCACUAAACCAAGACACACAGGGCUUUCCUGCACUUAGUUUCAGGAAAAAGUUCCAAGUAAUUCUUACUGUGUUAGAAGAAUAAAGUACAUUUGUCAUAGUAUACAUUAUCAUAUUCCCUUAAAGCAGGGACUAAAGUUUUUAAAUUAAACAAUGUCCAGGCUUACUUCUGUCUGUACAUUCAGGAAUAAUCAUAUCACUGGUUACAUACAAUUCUCUCCUCAUGCAAAAAAAAAAAAAAAAAACCUCAAAAAAAAAAAACCUGUUGUUUUCUUAAGUCUAAUUAAGCCAAACAAACUAUUAAUAGCAAUUUAAUUAGCAAGCUAUAAAUCAGAGAGGUAUAAAAAUUCAGCAGUUAAACUGUAUUUCCCACCUAUAGUACUGCUGCUACUCAAUCAUUUUCUUCAUGUAUUAGAAGAAUUAAUAGGCAUUGAUGGUCAAAAUAAGAAUUUCAAUAUUGCAGCAAAUGACAGAAGAGUGAGCGAAAGAGUUCCUAAUGUGUGACAGUCUUAAUGAUUCUUUAAAAGGUAAAGGAUUGUAUGCAUGUGUGUGGAAAGGAGUAGGAAAUAAAAGUAGGAGGUUAAGACAGGUAUUUAAAGGGAAUGCCAAGAUAGCUGCAUUAGAAUCUUUAUUUUUUAAAAAACUGAAGUCUGCCCAGAGUACCAAAAACAUUAAAAAAAAAGAGCAGACAUUGGUGCAAGUUUAACCUGUGAGAAAAAAGCUAGUUUUGAUGAGAAAAAGUUCAGUCUUUUCCUUGUAAAUACAAAGAAAUGCAACAGGAAUUUUAAAGGUAGUAGGCCAGAAAAUGUAACAGUAACUCUUACAAUCCUUUUCUUUUUUUUUUUUUUUUUUUUUUUUUUUUUUUUUUUUUGAGACGGAGUCUCGCUCUGUCGCCCAGGCUGGAGUGCAGUGGCACAAUCUCGGCUCACUGCAAGCUCCGCCUCCCGGGUUCACGCCAUUCUCCCUCCUCAGCCUCCCGAGUAGCUGGAACUACAGGCGCCCGCCACCAUGCCUGGCUAGUUUUUUGUAUUUUUUUUAGUAGAGACGGGGUUUCACCGUGGUAGUCAGGAUGGUCUCGAUCUCCUGACCUCGUGAUCCACCUGCCUCGGCCUCCCAAAGUGCUGGGAUUACAGGCGUGAGCCACCGCGCGAGGUCACAAUCCUUUUCAAUUAAACAGACAAAUCAAGUUGAAGACAAGUGUUAAAAUACUAUUCAGCCUGAAUAUUUAUCAGCAUACAUAUCCUGUUGUUCAACUGGCUUUUGGUUAAAAAAAAAAAAGUCAACAAACUUUAUAAGAGCUAUCACCACAUUUAGAGUGAUGAAAAUAAAUUAGUUCCCCCCCAAAGAUAUUGUUUAACCUCUAAAGCAUGAAAAGCUAUAUAAUAUACAAAUUAACCAGUAUUUUUACAAAAGUAAUACAGUUUUGGACUGAUGAUAUUACACCGUAUUUGUGGUAAAGUACUAGGCACAAGAAUAUAUAUAUCAAUUAGGCAUUUUCAGUCUAAUCAGUCUUUAAGGUUUUCAUUUAAUUCUUGGCAAUAUAUAAUAACUGGUAUGCACUUUGGUACUUAAGUCAUGACUUGUGGAGAACGAGAAGCAAUGUAUUAUAGCAACGGGGUUCAUAUCUAACAAACAAUAAGAGUGUUGAACAAAUCCCUUCUAUGAACUUCGUGAUUUAUUUUGCUGUUGGUCACUUGCAGUAGAUCCUUGAUUUGAUUCUUCCGUAUUCAUGCUUUCUCCAUGUGCAGUCUCUAACAUUUCUUCAACUUUGUCAUCAUCGUGUAGGUCUUUUGAAAUUAAUUGUCUAGCUAGUUUGAUAUUGAGUCCUUCAUUGUAGUGAAGCGUCCUUCUCAUUUCAAAUUGUCGCUUUUUUUCUCGUUCUUCAGGUGAGAGGUCACUAUCCUCCUCUCCACUGCUUUCUUGUUCCUGAACCUGAUACUUUGGCUCCAAGCCUUCAGCAGCAGCUAAGUUCUUAGCCAAGCUAUCUGUUGCCAUAGCUUCAGUGGUUUCUGUAUCACUACAUGCAUCUUCAUCAUCACCCAUCGUACUAUGGUAAGGAGUGCUUGGUUCAUCUAUUUUCAUUAAACCAUAGUCUUUGUCUGCUGGACGAUAUGUCGCCAGGAUGUUCAUUUCAUCCCACUUCUGGGAUUUUUUGCUCAGCUGCUCGUGGACACUCCCACGGGGAUGUUCGGCCGACGCCACCAUAGAGGAAGUCGUAGAGGUGUUGUCCUUCAGGAUCCCCUUGAGGGGCCGUUGCGAGGCCGUGGAGGCCGCCAUUGCCGGGUGCUCCGCCUGUCGGCUCAGGGUCGCUGCUUGGCGUGGGGUCCGCGAACAGAAGGGUCGGCACUAGCAGAGACCAGCAGGCAGACGCGGAGCCCGCUCAAGGCUAAAGCGGCCGCACCUGCUGCCUCGGAAAGGGGUACCGGAGCGGUUGUCAAGACACAAUGACCCCGACGCCAGACUCAAGCGGGGAAAAGCGGGCCUAGAGCUCCAGGGCGGGAGCGACGCCGACGCCU
rnacentral:lncRNA from 1 species